AUGAAUUGUAGAGAAACAAUAAAACAAGAAAUCGGCUCACCAUCCUGUUCCAACUUGUUCCUUGCCUACUUGUGUCCCAGUAUUUUCUUCCGUUGCUAUCCAUUCUCUUGCUUCCUGGAGUUCUUGGAAAUCAAAUGUGUGCUAGUCAUAUGGUUGGUGAUGGGACAAGGUGAGAGAAAAUGGCUAUGCCAUGACUUCUCAGACAAAUCCUAUGUAGCUCUGCUGGAACUUGGACUUUCCCUGGGGUCCAGCCAAGUCACCAGGGCAAUGCAUAUUCCAUCCCUUCAUUGGUCUCCUCCUCUUUCUCCUUUGUGACACUGUCACAACUCACCCUCAAAUUUCUCCUUCAGCUAAAAAAUUUGUUUAGAAAAUUAUUCGUGAAUUUUCUACAAAUAGCCCAGGAAUCUUGGUUAAUUCUAACUAAAAACAUCCAUAUAGCAUAAAACAAAGAUUGUAAAAAUUAAAAAUCAGGCAUUUUUCGGCAUUCCAAAAAAGGAAUCAGGGAAUUAAAGAAAAAAAAUCAGUCACUUCUUCCUUUUCUCUACCUGAGCCCUAAGGUUAGUUUCUCCGGUCAAAUAUUUCAUCUUUAUGUCUUAUUAAAAAAAAUCUUGAUUUUUUUAAUCAAAAAUUUUUCCUAUGCUGUACUUUUCAUCCUUGUGUUUUAUUUACUCUAUAAAUAUGUUUGUACCUCUUAAUCCCCUUUUCCUAUUUUGCUUAUCUCUCACUGCCCUCCUCUCUAGCAACCAUUAGUUUGUUCUCUGUAUUUAUGAGUCUAUUUCUGUUUUUAUUUGUUUUUUAGAUUCUACACAUUACUGAAAUCAUAAGGUAUUCAUCUUUCUCUGUCUCUUAUUUCACAUAGCAUAACAGAUCCAUCCAUUUUUUCGCAGAUGGCAAGAUUUCCUUUUUUUUUUUAAGAUUGAUUUUUUUAUUCAUGACGGACACGGAGAGAUUGAGAGGCAGAGACACAGGCAGAGGGAGAAGCAAGCUCCACACAGGGAGCCCGACACGGAACUCAAUCCUGGCUCUCCAGGAACACACUCAGGGCUGAAGGCGGCGCUAAACGGCUGGGCCACCGGGGCUGCCCAGAUUUCUUUUUUUUAAAGAUGUAUUUAUUUGAGAGAGAGGGUGGGAGGGGCAAAGGGAGAGGGAGCAAGAGAAUCUCAAGCAGACUCCACGCUGAGUGUGGAGCCUGACAUGGGGUUCAAUUUCAUGACCCUGAGAUCAUGAAUUGAGCCAAAAUCAAAAGUUGGAUACUUCACUGAUAGAGUCACUGAGGCACUGCAAGUUUUCAUUUUUUAAUACAUACCUUGAUAGU
rnacentral:lncRNA from 12 species